rnacentral:misc_RNA from 1 species
AAGUCGUAACAAGGUUACCGUAGAUGAAUCUGCGGUAGGAUCAUUAACAAUAAGAUCUCUACUUUGUUUGUGCACCGUACCACGCCCGUCUCUGGCUGGCUGCUGCUGGGCUUGGGGGGCUACUUUGGCUCUCCCUGUCCGGCGACGCGCCAGAGACGAAUUUUAAAAACGCCUUUAGAAUCUUAAAAAGUAUACAUUCUAUAAAUCAUAAUAGAAAACAACUUUUAGCAACGGAUCUCUUGGCUCUC